rnacentral:tRNA from 2 species
GCCGGGGUGCGCGAGGAGCGCAAAGCUGAAACUGAAGUUCGUCGUGAUCACGCGGUGGUGGUGGAGGUUCGAAUCCUCCCCCCGGCA